AAGCAAACUUUACCAAACUCAAGUGCUCUGCCCAAUGACCUCCUCAAUCCAAGACACACAUCUGCAACAUAUCCUCAAGCGUCUGAAUAGUCCUCUUAGAUUGCCCAUUUGUCUGUGGAUGAUAAGCCGUGCUUAUCUGCACCUUAGUGCUCAUCUCUGCCUGAAAGGCUCUCCAAAAUGCAGAAGUAAACAUGAAAUCCCUGUCUGACACAAUACUCACAGGUACUCCAUGCAACUUCACGAUCUUGCUCACAUAUUUCUUCGCCAACACUGCCGCUCCAUCGGUUUUUCUGAUGGCCAGAAAAUGUGUUGAUUUAGUCAGACGGUCCACGAUCACCCAAAUAGAAUCUUUAGUUCGCGACACAUGCAAUCCAACCACGAAAUCA
rnacentral:sRNA from 1 species